GACAACAACAUCAAUGGGAUCACCAUCAGAGAAAAUAACUGGUUGUUCAUUAGGUAGAUGAAAAGAAAGCCUUUCCACUGCAGGUUCUCUAUGGUGAAUUGAAAAUCCAAAAAUUCUCCAAGAAGCUUCACACGGAGAAAUAUAUCGACAAUCAUAAUACAUUUUGAUUUCAUCAAUAUUCAUUGAAUCUUUCUCAUGCACACUUUGUGUAAAAGCCGCGGUUACACGAUCAUUUCCUUUGUUUAUGUACUUAAAUAGGUACUUUAUUGAUUUUGCUUGAUUGCACCAUUCAACAUUAAUAUGUGCCCUAUACUUCAAUAACAAAUACCUAUUAUGUGGUACCACAUACCUAUUAUCCAAAUGAAUACCUUCUCUUUUGAUAGUUCUACCAUCCUCUCUCCUUUUAUAAAUAUGAUAUCCAUCUUAAUCGAUUGUGGUGUUUUGAACAUACAUCUUUGGAAAGUGUUUUGAACAUCGACCAUUCUGCAUGCAUUAUAUGAUUUCCUAGCAAGACCACACGGUUCAUGUAUCAUAAAUUUUUCCACGGCCUUGUAAUAAUGAGGAUCAUCCAUUUCGUCUGGUAUUUCUGCUGAAAUUAUUUUAUCUAUGUCUCUCAGAGUUGGACAUUUAUUAAGAAGAAACAACAAUAUGUGCGCAUGUGGUAACUUCUGGAAUUCAAUAGUAUAAAUUACUGCAUCAAAUGUAAAAAUUAUAUGUAAUAUUUUAGAUAUAAUAUUUAAAAUGUAAUAGCGAACCGAUCUAAAAUUUAGGAUACAAAACAGGCUUAUCAUCAUAAAUUUGAAUAGUAAAAUAAUUAAUUUUAUAAUUAGAAUAAUAAUAUAUUAUAAAAAGUGAAUUUAAUACCUGAUUUAACUUCUCCAAAUAUUUGUCUCUCUUUCAAAUCCUUGACAAAAUAUCUGACCGAUCUUCUGCUUGUAAGCCUCUACUCUUUAAGAAUCUGAUAAUUUCAGGUCAUUUUGGAUUGCAAGUAAAUGUGAUAAACAGAUUUGGAUAUCCAGCCCAUUUGCAAAUUGCCAUAGCAUCUUGAUAAUUCUGAAUCAUAUAUCGUGCACCUCCGGUGAAGGUUGAUGAUAGAAUUACCCUUUUACCAUGAGAAAAAGGAUCAAUUUCUCCAUGUAAAACUGCAUCUUCUAAUCCUUUAUACAUUGCAGCACACAAUUGUUUUUGAUGAGUUCUAAUAUACUUCAGCC
rnacentral:lncRNA from 1 species